rnacentral:rRNA from 1 species
UACGGGGGGGGCAAGCGUUGUUCGGAAUUACUGGGCGUAAAGGGUUCGUAGGUGGCUUGCUAAGUCAGACGUGAAAUCCCUCAGCUUAACUGGGGAACUGCGUCUGAGACUGGCAAGCUUGAGUGCAGGAGAGGAAUGCGGAAUUCCAGGUGUAGCGGUGAAAUGCGUAGAUAUCUGGAGGAACACCGGUGGCGAAGGCGGCGUUCUGGACUGCAACUGACACUGAGGAACGAAAGCUAGGGUAGCAAACGGG